CCUACGGGUGGCAGCAGUGAGGAAUAUUGGUCAAUGGACGAGAGUCUGAACCAGCCAAGUAGCGUGAAGGAUGACUGCCCUAUGGGUUGUAAACUUCUUUUGUCAAGGGACAAAAUCAGGCUCGAGAGCCUGACCGAGGGUACUUGAAGAAAAAGCAUCGGCUAACUCCGUGCCAGCAGCCGCGGUAAUACGGAGGAUGCGAGCGUUAUCCGGAUUUAUUGGGUUUAAAGGGUGCGUAGGCGGGCUGUUAAGUCAGCGGUAAAAGCCCGGGGCUCAACCCCGGCGAGCCGUUGAAACUGGCUGUCUUGAGAUGUCGAGAGGUAUGCGGAAUGCGCAGUGUAGCGGUGAAAUGCUUAGAUAUUGCGCAGAACUCCGAUUGCGAAGGCAGCAUACCGGCGGCGAUCUGACGCUGAGGCACGAAAGCGUGGGUAUCGAACAGGAUUAGAUACCCUAGUAGUC
rnacentral:rRNA from 1 species